CUACGGGAGGCAGCAGUGGGGAAUAUUGCACAAUGGGCGCAAGCCUGAUGCAGCAACGCCGCGUGAGGGACGACGGCCCUCGGGUUGUAAACCUCUUUUAGUAGGGAAGAAGCGAAAGUGACGGUACCUGCAGAAAAAGCACCGGCUAACUACGUGCCAGCAGCCGCGGUAAUACGUAGGGUGCAAGCGUUAUCCGGAAUUAUUGGGCGUAAAGAGCUCGUAGGCGGUUUGUCGCGUCUGCUGUGAAAACUGGAGGCUCAACCUCCAGCCUGCAGUGGGUACGGGCAAACUAGAGUGCGGUAGGGGAGAUUGGAAUUCCUGGUGUAGCGGUGGAAUGCGCAGAUAUCAGGAGGAACACCGAUGGCGAAGGCAGAUCUCUGGGCCGUAACUGACGCUGAGGAGCGAAAGCAUGGGGAGCGAACAGGAUUAGAUACCCUAGUAGUCC
rnacentral:rRNA from 1 species